AGUUUUAUAGUGUAAAACCGCACAGUAGAUUGCAAAUCUAAAAGAAACAUUCUUGUUUAAAACUU
rnacentral:tRNA from 1 species